UACGAAGGGGGCUAGCGUUGCUCGGAAUUACUGGGCGUAAAGGGCGCGUAGGCGGCCCGCUAAGUCGAACGUGAAAUCCCCAGGCUCAACCUGGGAACUGCGUCCGAUACUGGCAGGCUUGAAUCCGGGAGAGGGAUGUGGAAUUCCAGGUGUAGCGGUGAAAUGCGUAGAUAUCUGGAGGAACACCGGUGGCGAAGGCGGCAUCCUGGACCGGCAUUGACGCUGAGGCGCGAAAGCUAGGGGAGCAAACGGG
rnacentral:rRNA from 1 species